rnacentral:lncRNA from 1 species
UGGCGUGGGGGGAGGGGGCGGGAGGCGGAGCCCAGAGCGGAGAAACCCUGGAAAAUCACGACCCUGAAAGCGAGAAGGCAGACGUUAGGGCUCCUGUUCUGCAGGAUAAUGCAGUCUAACGCUAGGCCUGGAGGUUAAGGAGUAAAAAAUAGGGGAGUGACACUAGAUCGACUGGCUAAAAUCCCCCAUGCUGCGACUGAUCCAGCAUUCGGUAGAAGUACCCCAUCUCACCAAUUCCCACCCACUCCUUCUCCCCCGCCCCUGCCGCCUCCCGUCGCCUCCCGCUAGGGUGCAGAAGAAGGGGUGUGGCGGUGUUCCUGGAGAAAUGGCGGCUGGGGGCGGGGCAAAGAGGAAGGAGGGGUGA